AUUGAACGCUGGCGGCAGGCCUAACACAUGCAGGUCGAGCGGAUGAAGGGAGCUUGCUCCUGGAUUCAGCGGCGGACGGGUGAGUAAUGCCUAGGAAUCUGCCUGGUAGUGGGGGAUAACGUCCGGAAACGGGCGCUAAUACCGCAUACGUCCUGAGGGAGAAAGUGGGGGAUCUUCGGACCUCACGCUAUCAGAUGAGCCUAGGUCGGAUUAGCUAGUUGGUGGGGUAAAGGCCUACCAAGGCGACGAUCCGUAACUGGUCUGAGAGGAUGAUCAGGCACACGGGAACUGAGACACGGUCCAGACUCCUACGGGAGGCAGCAGUGGGGAAUAUUGGACAAUGGGCGAAAGCCUGAUCCAGUCAUGCAGCGUGUGUGAAGAAGGUCUUCGGAUUGUAAAGCACUUUAAGUUGGGAGGAAGGGCAGUAAGUUAAAACCGGGCUGUUUUGACGGUACCAGCAGAAUAAGCACCGGCUAACUACGUG
rnacentral:rRNA from 1 species